rnacentral:rRNA from 1 species
GAUGAACGCUGGCGGCGUGCCUAAUACAUGCAAGUCGAGCGAACAGAUGAGGAGCUUGCUCCUCUGACGUUAGCGGCGGACGGGUGAGUAACACGUGGAUAACCUACCUAUAAGACUGGGAUAACUUCGGGAAACCGGAGCUAAUACCGGAUAAUAUAUUGAACCGCAUGGUUCAAUAGUGAAAGACGGUUUUGCUGUCACUUAUAGAUGGAUCCGCGCCGCAUUAGCUAGUUGGUAAGGUAACGGCUUACCAAGGCAACGAUGCGUAGCCGACCUGAGAGGGUGAUCGGCCACACUGGACCUGAGACACGGUCCAGACUCCUACGGGAGGCAGCAGUAGGGAAUCUUCCGCAAUGGGCGAAAGCCUGACGGAGCAACGCCGCGUGAGUGAUGAAGGUCUUCGGAUCGUAAAACUCUGUUAUUCGGGAAGAACAAAUGUGUAAGUAACUAUGCACGUAUUGACGGUACCUAAUCAGAAAGCCACGGCUAACUACGUG